AAGUCGUAACAAGGUUUCCGUAGGUGAACCUGCGGAAGGAUCAUUAACACGUAUCCAACGUUAAAACCCCCCCGUGAACCUUCAGUGUGAACAGUUUUGAUUCAGGGACUUCUGCGAAGAGUGUGCUUGUAGCGCGAGGCAAGUGGCCUGGCAUCCUUGUCUGAAAGUGUCAAGGGUGGCGCAGUCACGAUCGCUAGAGGCCGACACGGCCGGCGACCGGGUCACCGGGCUCACGCCCCUUAAUAACCUUUGCAUGAAAACGGGCCUGCGCUUAAUUGUGCGGCCAUAAACCGAACAACUGUUAACAAUGGAUAUCUUGGUUCUC
rnacentral:misc_RNA from 1 species